rnacentral:misc_RNA from 1 species
UGGAUGAUCAGAGGAGCUCAGAGCAAAAGGCAGCUGCACAGCGCAACCGCGGCGGGCCUGAGCAGCCCGGCCGGCCAGCGACCCGUCGUCACCUCUCCCCUGACCACUCUCCCGACGACCGAGCUCUCCGCGGCGGCGGACCGUUCGCAGUCGACGACGUCGUCGCCGCAGACUCCGACGCCCACGCCCGGCAUGACGGCCCGGUUGGUGACGCACAGCCCCGGGUUGCCGCUCAGGUCCAGGUUCCGGCCGAGCCGCCUGAGGAACGCGGCGUCGAAAGGGACGACGCCGUCCAGCCCGUUCUUGCUCAGGUUGAGGUGGUACAUGCGCUUGAGACGGCUGAGCCCCGGCGGGAUCCGCCCGGUGAGGUUGUUGUUCUCCAGCGACAGCGUGGUGAGGCUGGACAGGAGGCGGAACGUGUCCGGUAUGGGGCCCGAGUAGCCGGAGUUGGCCAGCCGGAGCUCCUGGAGCCUGGGGAUGUUGCCCAGCUCGGGCGGCAGCGGGACGCCGCCCAUCGGGUUGUUCUCCAAGAUGAGGUACUGCAGGUCGCGGAGGGCGGAGAGGCCGGCGGGGAGGCGGCCGCGCAGCCCGUUGUUGGCGAGCGCCAGGAAGGUGAGAGCCCUGAGGCGGGUGACGGCGGCCGGGACGCCGCCGGUGAGGUUGUUGGAGCUGAGGUCCAGCUUCUGCAGCUGGGCGAGGUCGCCGAGGCGGCCCGGGAUGGGGCCGGAGAAGGAGUUGUAGCUGAGGUCGAGGCCGACGAGGCCGCGCAGACCGCCGAGCCGGGCCGGGAUCGGGCCGGUGAGGGAGUUGUAGCUGAGGUCGAGGUGCACGAGGCCGGCGAGGUCGCCGAUGCCCUCCGGGACGGCGCCGCGGACGAGCGCGUUCUGGGACACGGUGAGCACCCGGAGCGAGCGGAGGCGGGCCAGCUGCGGCGGCAGCGCGCCGGCCAGCGACGGGUUGGAGCGCACGCUGAGCUGCUGCAGGCGCGACGCCGAGAGGUUGGACGCCGGCGGUAAGGUGAAGGCGGCGACGGCGCGGGGGUUCCUGAAGCAGCCGACGAGGAACAGCGACCGCAGCUCCGGCAGCGCGAACGCGGCGAGCGGGAACGUGGCCGUGUCCCUGCACGUCGGGUGGGGCGGCACGCCGAAGUCAAGGCGCGCGACGUGCAUCCGCGCCGCCGCGGUCCCGGGCCUGCACUCGAGCCCCGGCCACGGCGCGCUGCAGGGGUCGGCGCCGGCGGCCUCGCGCCAGUCGCGGUCGGCGGAGACGGACUCCAUGACGCGGAGCAGCGUCUCCCGCUCGGCGGGGUCCAUGGCCGCGGCAGCGGGCGCGGCGACCUGCAGGGACAGGAGGAGGAGGAGGUACAGAACCGCGCGGGAGAGGGUCGUCCUGGAGGACGGUGCCGGCGGCGCCAUGAUGGCCGCGCGUGUGGCUCUGCCGCGCAGUGGCGCUGCCCGCUCUGCUGCCGCUGCCGGAUGGUGGCGGUCUCGGGUUUCGCUAUUUUGGGGGGCCGUCGAUGGUUUUUGAGCGGGGCGCGGGAGGCAGCGUUUGCAGUACGUGGAUGUGCGGGUGGUGGCCCCCACCUCCCAUGCCCCCCUGCUCUACAGCAAC